GUUUGUUUUGUUUCUUACAUUCCACACAUGAGUGAAAUUGUAUGGUAUUUGUCUUUCUCUGACUGGAGCACAAGGUAAUGUAUGGAAGUGUCGAAUUACUCUAUUGUACGCCUGAAACUAAUAUAACACUGUAUGUUAACUAACUGGAAUUAAAAUUAAAAAAUUAAAAAAUAAACAAAAAUCAAGUUUUGAAAUGUCAUUUUUCCAGGCUCUGUGACUUAAAAUGAUGUAUCCAUCCAUUAGUUCGAUUGACAAAAAUUUAUUGAAGUUCUACUGAGUGGCAAGGAGGACUCCAAGGUAUCUUCCCCUCAAGGGACUCAAAAGGCUACUCAAAAGUUCAAGGGUGAAGAAACCACUGAUCCCUUUUGGCUACGUGAACUACAGUGUCCUAAAGAACUUCAGAGUCUGAAGAAAGGUCUGAUGGGGAAGAAUGUGGCUACAAGGGCAUUGUGCUCAAAGCAAGCAUCUCUCGGGGUCCUUCGAUGGGCACUGAGCAGUUUAGUGAUUUGAUUUUACUGACCAGGACCAAGCUACGCUAAAACACAUCCAGUAUUUUACGAGAAAAAAAAGAAGCCUGGUUUCCUAGUUCCAAAUGAAGCCUGCAGGCAUUUCAAAAUAAUACGUGUUACAGCUUCAAAGAGAAAAGAUAUUGAAUGGUGAAAUUUUGUAAAUAUCAAAGAGGCUUUCAGGCGGCUACUUUACAAUUUGAAACACACGUUUAACUUUAAAAGCAACAUUUUGUAACCUG
rnacentral:lncRNA from 1 species